rnacentral:rRNA from 1 species
AUUGAACGCUGGCGGCAGGCCUAACACAUGCAAGUCGAGCGAGCGGCGGACGGGUGAGUAAUGUCUGGGAAACUGCCUGAUGGAGGGGGAUAACUACUGGAAACGGUAGCUAAUACCGCAUACCAUCAGAUGUGCCCAGAUGGGAUUAGCUAGUAGGUGGGGUAACGGCUCACCUAGGCGACGAUCCCUAGCUGGUCUGAGAGGAUGACCAGCCACACUGGAACUGAGACACGGUCCAGACUCCUACGGGAGGCAGCAGUGGGGAAUAUUGGACAAUGGGCGAAAGCCUGAUCCAGCCAUGCCGCGUGUGUGAAGAAGGUCUUCGGAUUGUAAAGCACUUUAAGUUGGGAGGCGUUACCAACAGAAUAAGCACCGGCUAACUUCGUGCCAGCAGCCGCGGUAAUAC